rnacentral:rRNA from 1 species
CCUACGGGAGACAGCAGUGAGGAAUAUUGGUCAAUGGACGAGAGUCUGAACCAGCCAAGUAGCGUGAAGGAUGACUGCCCUAUGGGUUGUAAACUUCUUUUAUAUGGGAAUAAAAUGUUCCACGUGUGGGAUUUUGUAUGUACCAUAUGAAUAAGGAUCGGCUAACUCCGUGCCAGCAGCCGCGGUAAUACGGAGGGUCCGAGCGUUAUCCGGAUUUAUUGGGUUUAAAGGGAGCGUAGGUGGAUUGUUAAGUCAGUUGUGAAAGUUUGCGGCUCAACCGUAAAAUUGCAGUUGAAACUGGCAGUCUUGAGUACAGUAGAGGUGGGCGGAAUUCGUGGUGUAGCGGUGAAAUGCUUAGAUAUCACGAAGAACUCCGAUUGCGAAGGCAGUUCACUGGACUGCAACUGACACUGAGGCUCGAAAGUGUGGGUAUCAAACAGGAUUAGAUACCCUAGUAGUC